GUUGUUGUUGCACCAGCAGCGUUGCAUCGGCCCGCGUGCAUGCUGCUAGCUUCUAGCCUGGCUCGGAUCGGAUGCGGAAAGGGAACUUGAUGCGGCGGCUGGGCCGCAAUCAGUAGAAUCCGAACAACGAAGCGAGUUGGACGUGUCCUGAGUGAAUGGUGGUUCUUAGCGCGCGACGUUCUUGCACUUAAAUUGGUUUUGUUCUGAAGAGUAUGAAAUUUGCCCGCCAAAAACUCGAACUUUCGUGGUGAAGUGUUGGAGCGAGUUCGCUGCGAACAUCGAGUGUUUCUAGUUAAUUCGCCUGUGAUUUUCCAAUUGGCUAAUGAAAUUUGACUAACAGAGUGUUGAAGAAGUCGUUCUCAGUGGAUUUUCAUCGACUUUCAUUCAGGAAAUAGAAGAAUUGGUGAAGUGACACGUCCAAAGUGCUCGGCAACAAGUUCACCGAAUUCAACUGCAACAUUCGUGCGUCUGCAACACUGUUUCGGGCGAGUUCAAGUGAUGCGUAAUGAUGUUCAGGAAAUGGAUAAAACCUACUUCAAACGACAUCCCGACUAGUAAUUUUAGUGAUUUCAUGAUUAACAAUUAGCAUCUGAUUAACAGUAGAACUAGAUCUGCAUCAGAACGAAUCGGAGGUGAUAGUGAUGGCCCUCGAGUACUACAUCAUGCUCUCAACAGUGAUUUGAAACAAUCUUUCGCCCUGUGAUGUGGCCGCGCGUAAUGUCCGAAAUUAACCACCGCGCAUACAACUAACUCUACUUCCAGCAUCAACUAACAACGCACAAUUCAUUAGAAUUAAAUGUUUGUGCUGAAUUUGUGCAAAGAAAAGACAAGUGUUCCUUAUAGCAGUUUCCAAGGAGCAAGUUGUAACUGUGACUAACCGUGACUAGUGACAAGAAAUAGUUUCUGACUAUUCUGCGAGGAACGUAACACGUUAAUAAAUCAAAAUGGCUGUGCCCUUUUACCUUCCCAAUCAGGAUGAACAAGGAGCUUCCGGCAGCAGUGGUAGUAGCACUGGAAGCUCCCCAAACACAACAACCUCAGCCACGCAGACUCCUUUGCCGAGUCCUGCUCCCGUCAAUGGGGAACAGUUGGUGCAGGCUUUUAUGGAGGUCCUGUAUCGAUGCUCGUCGUCUACUUCGAAUGGAGGAUCGCCAGGAUUUCAAUUUCCACCGCCAAGCCCUUCAUGUAACCUCAAUAGCCCUGGCGGAUUUUACAGUGAUGAAGUGUUUUUCCCGCGUAAUCGAAGUACUCCACGUUCGCCACGUAAUAGUUUCCACGAUGAAGGAGCUUUCUUUCGUCAUCCAAUCCCAACCCCAUCAAGAUCCAUGAGAAAUGGCCCGCCGGAAGCAGUCUCUAGACGUUCACGAUUAACAUCGACAGGUGACGAUGAUAAUGAAGGACAUAGUGAACACGAAACCAGUUGGGAUGAACUGGAUGAACGCUACGAGCAGUACAUGGCCGCCCGGGAGCGUUUACAAGAGUUUCCAGGACGAAUACCCAAUCGAAAGAAGAGAAAGGAAGGCAAAAAGACAAAGGAACAAAGUUUCACGUGGCCAACAGUUGUGACAGUCUUCGUAUUUGCAGUAGGCUGUGGAUUUUUAGUGGCUCGAUGAUUCCCACUUCUAUCGAUCAAUUUUUCGGAUCUCAAUUUCUUCAAAUUAUUCGAAUUCUUCCACAAAACUACACAUAAAUAUUAGAUAACGAGCAAUUUAGUGAACAAAAGACAUCUCUAUACAUUCAAAGGAUACAUCAGGCAGUAAGGGAAAGGAAUUAGUUCAGGCUAUGGAUUCUACUUAACAACAAAAUUGUAUAAAACUAAAAUUCAAACUACGUCAGCAUGCACAAGUACAAUAUCAUCACAUUUUUCCGGAUAAAACUGAAAAUAAGUAAAGUAAAAUACAAAAAGUCAAGUUCCAAAAUAUACAAUUUUUUGACUGAAAAUAGAUUAACAGAAAAAAAAAUAUAUUUUCGACAUGCAGUUUUUGAUUUUUGACUGUGGAUUUGUACUCAUAAACAAAAAUAUAAUGAAAACAGGAUAAAAAUUAUAUUCGUAAUGACAUUUGAGCUUGGCGAAAUGGUUUCGUAACGCUGAAAAUUUUUUGCAAUAAAUAUUUACAGAAACAAAGCGAAAAAAUACAAAACUGGCAUUUUUUCUUCCAAUUGAAAUGCACAAAACAAGGCAACAAAAAAUAGCUAAAAUAUAUAUACACAAAAUUUAUUUACAGAAGCAUACAAUAAGAUCACUGCCAUAUUUUAUACAAAUAUACAAAAAGAUAUAUAUAUUUUACUAUUUAAAAAUGACUUUUUUUCUCAUUUAGACAAAUUUUGUUGUAAUAAGUAGCCAAACAGUGCAAGAAAAUUGUGUAGAGAUUUGAGGAAAAUCGAAAGUUUCAAUGCCAAUAGCGGUUGUACCCGAUUGAGGGUAUUUUCUGAUUCUAAUUUCAAUUUGAAAGAAAAGACGUAAAAUAGACUAGAUUGUAGAUAUAUACACAUAUGUAUAUGCAGGAGAGCUAUUUUAUAUCGAAAUAUUUAGAAAAUGCCAAUCUCUCUAACGCAGACAUUUGUCAUUGAGGUCUUUGCCAGCUUGAAAAUUGUUUAAAAAAAAAGAUUAGCGUAAAAUGUUCGAUAAAUCAUACAUAAAAUUGGAAAUUAAAUAAAAAUUAUUUAAAUAUACAAGAAAAUUAUUAUAAAUAAUAUGAAAUGAAGAUAAUGUGAAAAAAAUAACAAAAACAGUUUUUUAUUGAAAUAUAAAAAACCCAAAGCGAUUGUGAUUAUAAAAUAUUAUAAAAUGAAAGAAAAGUUUUUUUUUUAACGAAAUACGUAGAUAAUGUAAAAGUGAAAAUAAGAAGACAAUUUUCUAGGAUCAUUUUAUUUCCAGACAUAUACACAUAUUUUAAUUUAAACGUACACCGUGUAAGUAAGAGAUUUGUCGUAAGAUUUUCUUUUGCUUUUCUUUGUGUUUGUACUUGACAAUUUGUUUUCUCAAUAUUUCACUUGGCAUUUUUCACGCCACGUUGUAUUCUGUUUAAUGUAGCAUUCGGUGAAUAUUUUGUGCCUUAAAAUGUAGAUAUAAAAAUAUGAUUGUAUACGUGCUAAUAUUUUUUGCACAAUUGCAAAAUUGAGAUUAAACUUUUCCUUUGCAUCGUAUCAUAAGCCGGAAUUCGUUUGAAAGAAAUAUCGUUACCAUUUAAGUUGCAUUUUUCAUUUUCCAAAAUGUAACUCGUAUUGGCUGUUAAUUGUUCUGCUCUCAAAUGAAUGGCAUUUUUUCCUAAUCGUUUCUCAAUUUCGCUUUAUCAGCAUCACUGCCUUGAUUUGCAUUUUCUGUAAGGAGGAAGUGAUUUUGUUUAGUUUGGUAAUCAUUGAAUUUGAAAUGCAUGCUUGUGGCUGUAGAGUUCAGAAUUUUUUUUACAAGUCACGAAAAGCAAUGAUUCCGAUCUAAAUACAUCACAACUUUCUGUUUCAUCCAUAUCUCUAUCAAAUGCUGCCAUGACAAAGUUAUUCGUUCCCUGAAGCACUAAAAGAAUUCUUCUAUCAUUUUAAUUUAGUUUAAUUUUUUAAUUGCGUCGCUUAAGUGGAACAAAAUAUUCAUCUAAUUUCCCAUAAUUGUGAAUUUAGUUUGUAUUUUUCCUCUUUUUUCGAAAAAAAGAAAAACCGGACAAGAAUUUGAAAAUUAGUUAUCCGUCAUGAUCUAUAUCUUCUUCCAUGAAAAUUCAAUUUCAAUGCUUUAUAAUCGAAUUGCAUUCUUCCAAAGUAGAAUGUGAACGAUUGCAAAACGUAUUUAGUUAAUUUUUUUAAUACUUUAAUAUAUUUCGAGAAAGAUAUGUUUUCAUAUUAUUAUUUUUUAAAUAUAGACGUAAAUAUUAUAAUUGAUUUAAGAUGAAUAUUCGAUGAUGAAAAUGUAAUUCAUUGUGAUUUUAUGAUUAGUUUUAAGGCUUUUAUAUAUUACUUUCAAAUUGGUCUCAAUAUUUCGUUUAUUAUCACACUUUGCCGCGAAAAUUAAAUUCAAUUGCUUUGCUUUUUCUCUCUGAACUAUGUUAAAUGAAACUGCUUUCCAGUCGUAUCCUACAUUUCUUCAGUUCUAUUUUGCUGAUAAACAUUCCUUUCGUUUUGAGCACUUUCUCCUGCAAGUUUUUGAUUAUUUCUCAAAUUAAAGCUCAUUAAAGCAUAUUGUGAUUCAAUAGAAGGAGCCACGAUGCGAUUGGCGGUUCAACACAAUGAAAAAAUGGUUUUAGAGUCUUCCCCUUGAGGCAUUCGGAUGCGGGACAAAGGGAAAUAGCCAAUAAAUGCCAUAUUUGACAUGAUGUAAAUGUAUGUGAUAAUACCAUAUUUUUGAUAGUUUGAAUAAGCGGGUGUUCUUUGUAGAUAUUUUGGCGUCCUGAGUAUUUCCUUUUAUUUCGUAAAACACAAGGUAAUUCAUAUAUAUUUCAAUUUUUUCUAGAUGUUUCUUCGAAGUCUACUUCGUUGACAUAGAAAUUGGGGAAAUUUGGUACAAUUCCGACAAUUUUUAAAGAUGUUAAUAUUAACAAAAUUUUUGGGAGAUAUCACCACAAUAAGGUCUAGUGUGGAUCAUUUAACGACUGAUUAUAGUCGGACUUCUAACAAGUACCCCACCAUGGUAUCACCUGAUGAGUUUCCGUGGUACUGGUCGACAAAUAAUACUUUUCGCUAAAAAUUCUUCUUAACUCAACAAAUUUUCCACAUUUCUGACGCCAAAUUUUCAAAGUAACAACCCAAUUCCCCGUCAUUUUGUCAUAUAAUUAUGUAAAAUUUACGGGUUUAAUUUAUUCGCUUCUAAUUUUUGUGUUGAGCCGGUAAACUGAGUUCGUUGCCUUCUAGAAUUAAGGUGAAUUCUAAUUAUUCAGCCGAAAAAAAAACGUAGGAGUUACUUCAAAAGGUACGAUUAAAAAUAAUAUUUGACUUCUUCUUGAUAAGAAAAAAUAUGCCCAAAUAUCAAUAUCGACUUCUAUUAGUUCAACCAUGAAUCAAUAGGAAAGUAAAGAAAGCUUCGUUUUGAUACAUAUUUCAUUGAAACAUAGACAAGCGAAAUUUUAAUCAAUUGGUUGAUUUACUUCUGAUUAAUAUGUUGAUUGCCCGUGAUACAUACAUGUGCGUCAUGUCCAGUCAGCGGAUUAAAGAUGGGCAAUGAAGAUGCCGAGGUGCAAACGUUUACACUAUUAAAACAUAAACAUUAUUACUUUUAAAAUAUAAAUUUGCAAAAGUUGCGAAGCAUUGUGACAAGGAACGUAAGUGAAAUUGACCUCUUCGACGUUUCUUCUAUGUCUCUACAGUCCAAUGUCACUCCUUAGACUCUCGUCUCAACUCUUCUCGGCCUAGCGAUUGCGAUCCAAUUUUAGAAAUCAAGUAGCAUCUAACCUGCGUUGUCCACUAAUCCUUUCCAUUUGUUUCGGGGUUUUCCAGGUGAUCGUUUACUUUCCGAUUUUGUCGUUCAUACACUUUACAUGGUUUGCCCACUGAAGCUUUUGAAUCUCGAUAUGAAUGGCGGCUUCUGAUUUGUUGUCUAAUAAGUGCAACUCAUUAUUGUAGGACUCGACGUUCGGUCAUCUUCCAAGUUUUAUAUGCUGAGAACUUUGUUUUCUUGUAUUUUUAUUUUAUUUUUUUUUAGGAUUGGCCGUAUGAAGUCAAAUACUUAGUUAGCAAAAAUGGUCUACCUACUGAUUUCGUUCACUUUGUUGUUAUCCUUUGUUGCGUCUAAAUACACAAAACUGUCCAUUUAUUCGAAGUCAUAAUCAUUUAGUGUCGCAUUUCAUCUGAUUGACGUCGUUCUUCUAGUUCGUCCCAUGAUUUUAAUCUUGGUUUAUUUUCACCAGCGCCUCCUUCGUGCUCUCUUUCCAUUAUGCCAGGGUAUUUAUAUCACCCACAUAGGCACUACCUGGGAUGAUUUAUACAGCAGCGUAAGAUUUAGAUUCACUGACAACUUUCGAAUGUUGAUUAAUGUUGAAGCGUAUCAUUAUCAUUAACAGCGCAACCGGGGUCCGAUCUAAGUUUGCUUUAACAAGGAACUCAAAAGCUUCGGCGAUCCACUAACUCAAUAUCCCUAACAAUUGUCUGGCAUCCUACGCCAUUGCUCCAUCUAAGGCAGGAUCUGCCACGUCUUCUUUUUCCACCAUAUUGAGAUAGACUUUCCGGACUGGAUUAUUUUCAUCCAUAAUGGUUAAUCCCAUUGCAGCCGGAGUUUAUCCACAAUCAAACGGUAAUGACAUCACUCAUAACUAGGCUACGGAAUCGUCCAUCCUUUUCUAGGAUUCUUCGGAGGAUUAUCCUUUCGAAGGCGGCUAAAAGUUCCCAAUUUUUCUUGCUAAGAAUUCAAGGCUCCGAGGAAUACAUGGAGACUGGCAAGCUCAUUGUUUUGUAGGGUAAAAGCUUUGACCUUAUGAUGAGACGUUUUGAACGGAGUAGGAUUCGCCUUGUUUUAAUCUGGAGUUUGAGCAUCUUGUAAGGUCUUACUUGUUAUUCUGAUGAGUCUAAUCAACUGAUUCACUGGAACUUCAAAUUCAGACAAUAUUUUGUAUAGUAUAGCACCGAGCGAAACUUCAUGGAUAUCAAUGUUACGUUCCCAACAUCUGUCCAGUAUUUGUUUCACUGAGAAUAUCUGAUCAAUCGUUUACUACCCACUUUGAAAUCCGUCGUUAUAUUGGCCGACAAUAUUUUUUAGAAGAGUCCGAGCUUUCUUUUUAUUAUUUUUGAGAGCUCUUUGUAACGUACUCCAUUUUUAGUUCCCCCAACAGAGUUUGUCACUUUUGCGUUGAAUUUCUGGCACAAUUUCGUGCUUAUGAACUCAUGAAGCUUGGUUGCCAUCUCGACACUCCUUAUCUUUAGGAGUUCCACAUUCAACCACGCGAAGCUUUGUCUUUUCUCUGUGCUUUUAGUGGAUCUUUAACUUCUCCUCCUUCUCUGCUGAAAGAUUCCAUGCUGUGUCCCUGCAAAAUGUGGUACUGAGCUAAAAUCUAACGGUCAUUCUUUUUGCCAAUUUUUGGCGAACCUUAAAUCUUGUUUCUUAAAGUUGUAGUCCAAUCUGCAGAUUUAGUUUACAGUUAAGUCUUAAGUCUAUGUAUCUGCCCCGUUUGGUUCUUGUGAUCGAUGGCCUUGUUCACUCUUCGACAGACAAUUAUUUUUGCAUCGAGGUUCCUGUCCGAUGUUUUUUUUGCAGCCAUCUUGAUUACAUCUUUCAGCAGAUUCCACUUCACGUCAGUGCUAUCGGCUUCCUGAUCUCGGUUGAAUAUCUGCAGGAUCUACUUUUCUAACGCCAUUUUUGCGUCCUGGAGUUUUUCAGUGUCGAAACUAACAGCUGAGAUGAGUCUGCCGCUCUCAUUAUUUUUCAUCUGAUGUCGACAUUUGGAUGGAUUGGACGUCAUGGAUGCUAAAUGCGUGUCUCUAUGAGACGUGAUUACAAUCUGGUUGAAUGUUGUUCUAUAUGAUGGGGACCAUGUUUUCUUUUACAUUAUGCAUGAGUCAACAAGUCGAUGAUACUUCCAAAUUUCUGUUGCAAGUAACUUCUAUGAUCUUGCUUCUGUUUUCGUUAAUUAUACCAUGAGGACUGUGACCCUCAGUAGUUUUAAAGUGAACCAGACCUUUUCCGAUCUUGAAGUCACCGAAUUCUGGCUUCACAUUGUUCGACGGAAGUAAGUUACUGGCUUAAGGCAACUGUAGAAUUCUUCUUUUACUUGGUCAUCCUUCUCUUCUGUUGUAUAAUAUACUGAAAACUUGGUUUUGACCCAAAGCGCGCCAAUUGUUUCAUUGAUUGUUUUGAAGGCUGCGAGGUGGAGGGCUUAAUGCUUAAGGACAACAAAAGCUAUGUCGCAUUCUUACUUUGCAGACUUUUCCGCUUUCAACGAUAGUGUGCGCUCGAGAGUCAUAUUAGAGCUCUACACAUUUUUCCAAGACUUUCUCCAACUUUUUUAAGCCAUCUAAAAAGUAAACUUUUGGAAGGUCCUCAAAAUACCCAUCCGUUUUCGCGAUGAUUUCUUCUUUCGUUAUGAUUUUUUUUUCCGCUGAGCGAUUUUUUUUAAGUUCGUAAAUAAAAAAAAUCACAAGGAGCCAAAUCCGUUGAAUGCGGCGCAUGUAAUAAUUCACGUGACAAUUCAAACUUUAAUUCCAUUAUUUUCGUCAUUGAAAUUUCACAGGUGUGCACACAUGCAUUGUUUUGAGGAUCUUAUGCUUGGUUUCUCCGCUCGAUCGAUGCAAUAAUGACGCAUAAUACUGUCGUUAUUCUUUCCUCGUUUUUUAAAAUAAUUUCAAAUAAGUGCAUCCUAGAAAAAUGUGGCCAUAAUCUCGCCGGCUAGUUUCAUUGUCCUUGUCUUCCUCGAAGCCUGUUCCCCACCGAAAGAUUCACUGUUUCAACUAUUCCUAUCUAUUUGGAGCGUCCAAUCAAGCCAUUGGGUAGUGCCGUGACUAAGUACUCGAGGGGGGCAACCACCGUCUGCAAAUGACUCAUCUGAAGUGGCUCAUGCUACUGAGCCUCAUCGGACGUUAACUAGUACCAUGGGAACUGGGAUAACCCUCUAAGCGGAUUUUCUGGUGGAUGUGCUCUCGGCUGGGUUAUUUGCGAGAUCGCGAUAUCAAUGUCUGGAGUUGCGGCAGGGGCGUUAAAUAGGCCUCGCGGUCACUGUUAUGAAUUCUGAGCCGACAUUUAGUAUAAACCAGUACCGACGUGCUAACCACGACGGGCUCUGGUUGCCGCGGGAAAAUCAAUCCGUGUCCGAAGAGGACCGUGAAAUGAUGCUUACAUGACAUCCUGGCAGGCUAAACUGACAGGAUGACAUCCUGGCAGGCUAAACUGACAGGACCUUCAUGUCUUUCGAGUGUAAUAGAGUACAUUUUGUCGACAGUAAUGUAUCGAUGCAGAGACUGGUCAGGAUUGCAACUGAAAAGCCUUAGAGUCAACCAGACGAUUGCGUUUACACUUUACUGAGAUCAAAUGCGGCAGAUGUGCCAUGAAUUUCGCCUAACUCGGCGUUAAUCUCUUUCGCCUGACGACCUCACCGCUUUAUAAUUUCGUUUCUUGGACCGGUUCUUUUAAAUCUGUUCAAUAAGUAUACUAAGGAUGCUGUUUUUUAAAUAGGAAUUGCACAUUACAAAUCCUUUUUCCGUUCCGUAGUCGUCGUUAUACUCCUGAUCCGACCCAAAGCUCAGUUUCGGGUUGCAAAUCAAUAUUAUACCGUGCACAUGUUAUCAGCCUGUUCCAUAGCCCCCAGUUGUUUGGGCUGGGGACUUCCGCAGAACUGAACACUAGACCACAUUCUACAUGCCCCAGGUUCUGUCUUUUAUUGUCCAGGGGUUACCAGCAUGAAAGUGAGAGAAGGAUGCGGCGGUAGGGGUGUGGGUGUUAAAUUAGGCUAUUUUGGAUAAGUUGCGACGUCUGAUUUGCUUUAUUCUCAGUUCCGGCGUUUCUGUGAAAACAUUUUAAUUGAAAUAUUUUUCUUCUAGUUCAAGUCAAUACUAAGUAUGGACAAAUGCUACAAAACACCCCGAAUAUAGUUAGUUUGAGUUGACAGCUUGGCUCUAAUUGAUGACAGAAGUGACUUGGGCUCGUUAUGAAUGGUAUCCAAAGUGGAGCCCGAAUCCACGACCCUAAGGUUUAGAGUCUUAUACUCUGCCGACUAAGCUACUCAGGUGCCAUUUGUAACGAAUGCAAGUGUUGCAGAUGGUCAUUUCUGUCAACCCCAACGCUUGCACUUGUUACAAAUGUCAUUUCGUUACACAGCCAAGGUUACGCUGAUAAGAUAUGUACAUUUUGGAGUUAUGUGGGUUGUAUUCCAGUUCUUGGUACAGGGAACUCGUAGUUCACCGUCUCAAAUCCACCACUUUACAUUGUUCCACUUUCAUUUUAGCUCUUGUCCCGAUUAAAAGCGGGUCGGCUCAUCUUGGUCGAAUAUGCAUCAGUUUCCGUUGGCCACCAAGCCACUUUUUUAAAUGCAAAAAGAGGAAGUAAUCGUUGGGUAUAAGGUGGGAACAGUAUAGAGAGUGAUCUAAUAGUUCGCAACAAAAAACUUGAAUCUUUAUCUUGGCAGGCAGUUAUUUCGACUCUGCGUUGAUGUACGAUGUCACCCAUAACAAUGUGGAAAAACAAAUCAUCUCCAUUUUGUCAAUAGACAGUCCAUAUCUAUCGUCCACUGCACAUUCUUUGUACUUUGUGCUGAUUGGUGGGUAUUUUUGAAACCCACCUUGCACAUAAUUUAGAGAGAGAAGUUUAGCCACUAACAGUGCGGACACAGUACACUGUUGCCCCAUUCUCUUUAUUUGACCCAUAUUUCAUUGGUAAUCCAGGCCUUUCUUCAAAAUGAAAUUAAUUUUGGCCUUGAAAACGAAAGAACAGGAGGAGUUGAAGGAGGGUAGAAAUAUUGAAGGGAAGAGCAGAGGGAAGUUGAUUUGAAACCAGUAAAUGCAAAUGAAGAGAUGAAGGGAAGUGCAAACGGAAAGGGACAGAGGAGGCGAAAAAUGAAAAAUGGUUGGGGUAAUAAAUAGAAAAGGAACUGAAUAGGAGAAGCAAAGUGGAGAUAAAAAAAAGCUGCGUAGAUGAUCAGGAUGACAAUAGGAAAAGGGACUAAGAAGGGAAGCCAAGGGCUGAAGAAAUAGAGAAGUGUAAAAGAUUAGCAGACCCUCUUUUGUUUGAACGUGCAGAAACUAUAACUUAAAAACCAGUGCCAACUUUGGGUGGGAUUUAUCAGUGACCAUACGAAACAUGUGAGUUUUGAGAAAGUCUGCCUACCGUAUACAAUUUUCAUCACCAAAAUUCUCAAUUUAAGGCCGCAGAUUUGUAAUAAUUUUUUCACUAAACGUUUGCACCCGCCCAUAUAAUCAGAAUCUGUUGUGUUUUCCAAAGAAAGUGACGAUAUAUUCGAUAUUUGUAAUAAAUAUUUUUUUUAUUUUCAUAAUUUAUGAUUUUAUUUUUCAAAUCGAGAUUUUAUUUUAAUUUUUUUUUCGUUUAAUAUUAUUUUUCAUAAAUAUAUCUAAUCGACUUUAUUUUAUUGUAAUAAUUAACAAAACAAUUCCCAAAAACUCUUGAUCUCAAAACUGUUAAAAAUACAUUGUAAUAAAAAAAAUAUAGAAGAAAGAAAAUGUAAAUUAGAAUACAUUUGUCAAUUUUGUCUACUAUAAUUUUUUUGUUGUCGCUCGUUUGAAAGGGACAUGUACCAAAUUUCAUUUAAUUGAUGCAAUAAAACCAUUAGUUUGUGAUUUUUUUUUGCCAGAAUGGGAAAGAAAAUGUUGAGGUGAAUUUUUGUUUGCAUUUUUUAGUGCAAAGUAGGCCUUUUCGAACAAAUAAUAGAGGUGAAUACUUUGGAAAUGUUUUCGUUGGGGAAAUUGUUGGUGUGGUUGAAUUGAUAUUAUUAUAUCAUAUUAAAAAAAAUCAAGAUUGGGUUAUUUUCGAUACUUUGGUUAGCUUUCUUUGCAAUAUUUUGAAAAACAGGUAAAUUGCGUAAUAUUUUUUCUGAAAUAAAUCUACAAAUGCAUAAUUCUUUUCGAUGCUCCCAGAAAAUUAAUGAAAAUUAUUCGUAGAAAAAUAGAAAUGGUCUUCAAUGAACCUAGUUCAUACCGUAAGAAAUAUGCACAAUCGGCCUAAACAUUUCCAGAUAAAACCUCAAGAAGUUCAUCUAAUGAAACAAGUGAAAUUAUAAAAAAAGUAGAAUUAAAGUAAAAUCAUUCACUUAAAGUGACUCAUUGUAAAAAUCUUGUAAAUAUUAUUUUAAAAUAUAUCACAAUCGAACUUAGUAGGACCGAAAAACGAACGUAGUAAAUAUAGUCUGUAAAAUAAUUGCGUAAGGACAUGCUUUAUUCUAAAUCUUAGUUGUAGGAAGUGUUAUAAAUGCCGCUCCCUCAGGAUUGUGCAUAAUAUCCCUUCGGAAUAUCAAAUAUCAAUUUAGUUUAAAAUACUUUUAGCCUUAGUAUUUUUUUUAUAUUUUUCUAUCUAUUAGUUGCCAAACUUGUAUUAAGUUACAAACAUUUUUUUGAGAAGAACAACAAAACAAAACAUUCUUAGAUUGUAAAUACAUAACAUUCAUGUAGUGUUGUAAAUUUCCCUACGAUUGGACUUAGCACUACAGUCGUCGAUUGUUUAAAACAUUGCAGAAAUUCACACAAAGUUUAAAACUUUCCUUAAAAAACUCGUGUGCCAUCCGAAAAUUACAAUAGUAGUGGCAGUAACUAUGCACCGGUUUUUGUUUGUAUUGUAAUAAAAAUUUAACAAUCGACGAUAUUUUUCUCAUAGUUCAUGUAGAGUUUUCAGAGUUUUCACAUGAUCUCCUGGUUAAUUUUUUGUUAGCAAAAGAAAGAAAAAUCGAUGGUUUAGACAAUUCGGAAUAUUGUUUAAGCAGAAAUAGUGUUUUUUCCUUUACUGCAUCUUAGCGGCCUAUUACUGUGGAAUAGAUAUUUGUUGGAGUCGGACAGGCGACCAGUUCAGGCUUGGAGACGAUUUGCAAUUUGGAUAUUUUAUUAGGCUUCACUUGCUUUAGUGCGGUCUAGUAACGUCCAUAGUUCUCAAAAUUUUUGUUUUCGAAUUUCCAAACUUGAAUAGUCUUUCUGUUUCAGGCUCCCUACAUUGUACGUAUGUUAUUUUGAAGUAAUGGUGUUAUUUAUGCCGCCCUUUUUUUACUUUCAUAUUUUAUAUCAAAUAAGAAUAGAAACAUUGUAAAUAUAUAAUUAUGAUGUAAGAAUUUAGAAUAUAAUUAUGACAGUUAGCCUAAUUUCCAUUCUAGUUGUAAGAUUUUUCUAGAUAUAAUUUUUAAAUUUAAACCGGAAGAUUUUUUGUUGAUUAUUUCAAUGUUGUCGAUAUGUAGAAAUAUGAUUUUUUUAAAAUGUGGAAUUUAUAUUCAUAUACUGUAAACAUUUUUUUUACUUUUUUUUCAAAAUAUAUUAUGAUCUCAUUGAUG
rnacentral:misc_RNA from 1 species